UACAGAGGGGGCAAGCGUUGUUCGGAAUUACUGGGCGUAAAGGGCGCGUAGGCGGCCUGCUAAGUCGAACGUGAAAUCCCUGGGCUCAACCCCAGGAACUGCGUCCGAUACUGGUUGGCUUGAGAUUGGGAGAGGGAUGCGGAAUUCCAGGUGUAGCGGUGAAAUGCGUAGAUAUCUGGAGGAACACCGGUGGCGAAGGCGGCAUCCUGGACCGGCAUUGACGCUGAGGAGCGAAAGCUAGGGGAGCAACGGGG
rnacentral:rRNA from 1 species